GGGUUGUGAGGUUAAGCGACUAAGCGUACACGGUGGAUGCCCUGGCAGUCAGAGGCGAUGAAGGACGUGCUAAUCUGCGAUAAGCGUCGGUAAGGUGAUAUGAACCGUUAUAACCGGCGAUUUCCGAAUGGGGAAACCCAGUGUGAUUCGUCACACUAUCAUUAACUGAAUCCAUAGGUUAAUGAGGCGAACCGGGGGAACUGAAACAUCUAAGUACCCCGAGGAAAAGAAAUCAACCGAGAUUCCCCCAGUAGCGGCGAGCGAACGGGGAGCAGCCCAGAGCCUGAAUCAGUGUGUGUGUUAGUGGAAGCGUCUGGAAAGGCGCGCGAUACAGGGUGACAGCCCCGUACACAAAAAUGCACAUGCUGUGAGCUCGAUGAGUAGGGCGGGACACGUGGUAUCCUGUCUGAAUAUGGGGGGACCAUCCUCCAAGGCUAAAUACUCCUGACUGACCGAUAGUGAACCAGUACCGUGAGGGAAAGGCGAAAAGAACCCCGGCGAGGGGAGUGAAAAAGAACCUGAAACCGUGUACGUACAAGCAGUGGGAGCACAGAGCAAUCUGUGUGACUGCGUACCUUUUGUAUAAUGGGUCAGCGACUUAUAUUCUGUAGCAAGGUUAACCGAAUAGGGGAGCCGAAGGGAAACCGAGUCUUAACUGGGCGUUAAGUUGCAGGGUAUAGACCCGAAACCCGGUGAUCUAGCCAUGGGCAGGUUGAAGGUUGGGUAACACUAACUGGAGGACCGAACCGACUAAUGUUGAAAAAUUAGCGGAUGACUUGUGGCUGGGGGUGAAAGGCCAAUCAAACCGGGAGAUAGCUGGUUCUCCCCGAAAGCUAUUUAGGUAGCGCCUCGUGAAUUCAUCUCCGGGGGUAGAGCACUGUUUCGGCAAGGGGGUCAUCCCGACUUACCAACCCGAUGCAAACUGCGAAUACCGGAGAAUGUUAUCACGGGAGACACACGGCGGGUGCUAACGUCCGUCGUGAAGAGGGAAACAACCCAGACCGCCAGCUAAGGUCCCAAAGUCAUGGUUAAGUGGGAAACGAUGUGGGAAGGCCCAGACAGCCAGGAUGUUGGCUUAGAAGCAGCCAUCAUUUAAAGAAAGCGUAAUAGCUCACUGGUCGAGUCGGCCUGCGCGGAAGAUGUAACGGGGCUAAACCAUGCACCGAAGCUGCGGCAGCGACGCUUAUGCGUUGUUGGGUAGGGGAGCGUUCUGUAAGCCUGCGAAGGUGUGCUGUGAGGCAUGCUGGAGGUAUCAGAAGUGCGAAUGCUGACAUAAGUAACGAUAAAGCGGGUGAAAAGCCCGCUCGCCGGAAGACCAAGGGUUCCUGUCCAACGUUAAUCGGGGCAGGGUGAGUCGACCCCUAAGGCGAGGCCGAAAGGCGUAGUCGAUGGGAAACAGGUUAAUAUUCCUGUACUUGGUGUUACUGCGAAGGGGGGACGGAGAAGGCUAUGUUGGCCGGGCGACGGUUGUCCCGGUUUAAGCGUGUAGGCUGGUUUUCCAGGCAAAUCCGGAAAAUCAAGGCUGAGGCGUGAUGACGAGGCACUACGGUGCUGAAGCAACAAAUGCCCUGCUUCCAGGAAAAGCCUCUAAGCAUCAGGUAACAUCAAAUCGUACCCCAAACCGACACAGGUGGUCAGGUAGAGAAUACCAAGGCGCUUGAGAGAACUCGGGUGAAGGAACUAGGCAAAAUGGUGCCGUAACUUCGGGAGAAGGCACGCUGAUAUGUAGGUGAAGUCCCUCGCGGAUGGAGCUGAAAUCAGUCGAAGAUACCAGCUGGCUGCAACUGUUUAUUAAAAACACAGCACUGUGCAAACACGAAAGUGGACGUAUACGGUGUGACGCCUGCCCGGUGCCGGAAGGUUAAUUGAUGGGGUCAGCGCAAGCGAAGCUCUUGAUCGAAGCCCCGGUAAACGGCGGCCGUAACUAUAACGGUCCUAAGGUAGCGAAAUUCCUUGUCGGGUAAGUUCCGACCUGCACGAAUGGCGUAAUGAUGGCCAGGCUGUCUCCACCCGAGACUCAGUGAAAUUGAACUCGCUGUGAAGAUGCAGUGUACCCGCGGCAAGACGGAAAGACCCCGUGAACCUUUACUAUAGCUUGACACUGAACAUUGAGCCUUGAUGUGUAGGAUAGGUGGGAGGCUUUGAAGUGUGGACGCCAGUCUGCAUGGAGCCGACCUUGAAAUACCACCCUUUAAUGUUUGAUGUUCUAACGUUGACCCGUGAUCCGGGUUGCGGACAGUGUCUGGUGGGUAGUUUGACUGGGGCGGUCUCCUCCUAAAGAGUAACGGAGGAGCACGAAGGUUGGCUAAUCCUGGUCGGACAUCAGGAGGUUAGUGCAAUGGCAUAAGCCAGCUUGACUGCGAGCGUGACGGCGCGAGCAGGUGCGAAAGCAGGUCAUAGUGAUCCGGUGGUUCUGAAUGGAAGGGCCAUCGCUCAACGGAUAAAAGGUACUCCGGGGAUAACAGGCUGAUACCGCCCAAGAGUUCAUAUCGACGGCGGUGUUUGGCACCUCGAUGUCGGCUCAUCACAUCCUGGGGCUGAAGUAGGUCCCAAGGGUAUGGCUGUUCGCCAUUUAAAGUGGUACGCGAGCUGGGUUUAGAACGUCGUGAGACAGUUCGGUCCCUAUCUGCCGUGGGCGCUGGAGAACUGAGGGGGGCUGCUCCUAGUACGAGAGGACCGGAGUGGACGCAUCACUGGUGUUCGGGUUGUCAUGCCAAUGGCACUGCCCGGUAGCUAAAUGCGGAAGAGAUAAGUGCUGAAAGCAUCUAAGCACGAAACUUGCCCCGAGAUGAGUUCUCCCUGACUCCUUGAGAGUCCUGAAGGAACGUUGAAGACGACGACGUUGAUAGGCCGGGUGUGUAAGCGCAGCGAUGCGUUGAGCUAACCGGUACUAAUGAACCGUGAGGCUUAACCUUACAACGCCGAAG
rnacentral:rRNA from 1 species